CUUCUAUUCCCUUCGUCCGAAAAUACUUGUCAUUAAAAUGGACAAAAAGGAAUGUAUCUAGAGCUAGAAUACAUCUAGAUACAUGCCCUUUUAUUCAUUUUGAUGACAAGUAUUUCCGGACCGAGGGAGUACUUU
rfam:Triticum aestivum genome assembly, contig: Triticum_aestivum_CS42_TGACv1_scaffold_251640_3DL